GAGGAGCGAGCCCUUAUUUUAUAAAAGGGACUCCCUCACCACCAUUAGAGAGCAUCGCCACCUACUGAGCAACCACCUCGCCACGAGCAUCAACUCUAGCCCAUCAUUUAUGUAUUGAGAAAUGAGCCCUUAUUCUAUAAAAGGGACUCCCUCACCAUCAUUAGAGAGCAUUAACUCUAGCCCAUCAUUCAUGUAUUGAGGAGCGAGCCCUUAUUCUAUAAAAGGGACUCCCUCACCUUCAAACGUCGCAAGCCGAGUAGCCGAACAGCGUGUGCUACUUCUAGUUGAGCAUCAUUUCAGAUUGAGCACUGCCUCAUAUCGAGCAUCAGUUCAAAACAGCAUCUAGUUACUUCGGCCCACACAUGGACUGAAUUUCAAGUCUCCAACCAAAAGACUCUCUUGACUGAAGACUUGGGGGACUACUGUUUAUACCAUAUUUAGGGCCUCGUAUUUAGACCUCGUAUAAAUACUCGGAGGACUUAAAUGUAAUUAUGUAAUAAAGGAAGGGGCAAAUAUGUAAUAAGUGAGGAGUUCUUUUUCU
rnacentral:lncRNA from 1 species